GAAAUGAACUUGGGAUCUCAUGGAGCUGAGAAAAGGCACAGAUGGAAACACAGGUGGUAGUUGCAAGCGGCAAGGAUUACUGCUUUGCUGAUGGAAGCAACGGUGAUGCUUUGUCAAAACACACCCACCAAUCCAACUGCAUACAAACAUGCAUGCACAUGAAAGGAAAAAAAAUAUCCAAGGGACUUCGUUAAGCAUCUAGGGAUUCUUAGCUCUCUGAAGUCUCCAUCCCAAGUUCAAGUCAUACAACUAUCCCAUUCAGCUGACAGCCCUCAGGGUUUCUCCCAAUUUCCUGUACAUGCCAGAUAACAGCACCAAACAUGCAUAGAGACUACUAUAGGAUUUACAAUAUCCAAAAUAAAAGUUGCAUACCUGAAAGGUUUGGUUGUUG
rnacentral:misc_RNA from 1 species